GGCAGUGGCUGAAGUGGCGGCGGCUGCGGCGGCUGCAACAGCUUCGGGCUCGGGGUUUUGGCGGCGGCGCCGGCGGGCUGGGCUGCGCGGUGCGGACCCCGGCGCGCGGUCCGGGUUGCUGGGGCGGCGCGUAAGAUGCCUCUAAUGGAGGAGUUUCUGAGCAGCAUCCCUGGCCCAGUGGCUUUGAAAGGGAGCUCAAACCAGAGACUAUUUCAAGCCCUGGAUAUCACAUCCUGAGGGCCACAGGAGAAGAGAACAUGGCUGUGAGUUUGGAUGACGAUGUGCCGCUCAUCCUGACCUUGGACGAGGGUGGCAGUGCCCCACUGGCUCCCUCCAACGGCCUGGGCCAAGAAGAGCUACCUAGCAAAAAUGGCGGCAGCUAUGCCAUCCAUGACUCUCAGGCCCCCAGUCUCAGCUCUGGGGGUGAGAGUUCCCCCUCCAGCCCCGCACACAACUGGGAGAUGAAUUACCAAGAGGCAGCAAUCUACCUCCAGGAAGGCGAGAACAACGACAAGUUCUUCACCCACCCCAAGGAUGCCAAGGCGCUGGCGGCCUACCUCUUUGCACACAAUCACCUCUUCUACCUGAUGGAGCUGGCCACGGCCCUGCUGCUGCUGCUGCUCUCCCUGUGCGAGGCCCCCGCCGUCCCCGCACUCCGGCUCGGCAUCUAUGUCCACGCCACCCUGGAGCUGUUCGCCCUGAUGGUGGUAGUGUUUGAACUCUGCAUGAAGUUACGCUGGCUGGGCCUCCACACCUUCAUCCGGCACAAGCGGACCAUGGUCAAGACCUCGGUGCUGGUGGUGCAGUUUGUCGAGGCCAUCGUGGUGUUGGUACGGCAGAUGUCCCAUGUGCGGGUGACCCGAGCACUGCGCUGCAUUUUCCUGGUGGACUGUCGGUAUUGCGGUGGCGUCCGGCGCAACCUGCGGCAGAUCUUCCAGUCCCUGCCGCCCUUCAUGGACAUCCUCCUGCUGCUGCUGUUCUUCAUGAUCAUCUUUGCCAUCCUCGGUUUCUACUUGUUCUCCCCUAACCCUUCAGACCCCUACUUCAGCACCCUGGAGAACAGCAUCGUCAGUCUGUUUGUCCUUCUGACCACAGCCAAUUUCCCAGAUGUGAUGAUGCCCUCCUACUCCCGGAACCCCUGGUCCUGCGUCUUCUUCAUCGUGUACCUCUCCAUCGAGCUGUAUUUCAUCAUGAACCUGCUUCUGGCUGUGGUGUUCGACACCUUCAAUGACAUUGAGAAACGCAAGUUCAAGUCUUUGCUACUGCACAAGCGAACCGCUAUUCAGCAUGCCUACCGCCUGCUCGUCAGCCAGAGGAGGCCCGCUGGCAUCUCCUACAGGCAGUUUGAAGGCCUCAUGCGCUUCUACAAGCCCCGGAUGAGUGCCAGGGAGCGCUAUCUUACCUUCAAGGCCCUGAAUCAGAACAACACACCCCUGCUCAGCCUAAAGGACUUUUACGAUAUCUACGAAGUUGCUGCUUUGAAGUGGAAGGCCAAGAAAAACAGAGAGCACUGGUUUGAUGAGCUUCCCAGGACGGCGCUCCUCAUCUUCAAAGGCAUUAAUAUCCUUGUGAAGUCCAAGGCCUUCCAGUAUUUCAUGUACUUGGUGGUGGCAGUCAACGGGGUCUGGAUCCUCGUGGAGACAUUUAUGCUGAAAGGUGAGCCCCGCUCGGGGACUGGCCAUGUCCUGGCCGGCACACCUGGCUUGCCUGUGAGCUGCUACUUCUCUGUCUUACAGGUGGGAACUUCUUCUCCAAGCACGUGCCCUGGAGUUACCUCGUCUUUCUAACUAUCUAUGGGGUGGAGCUGUUCCUGAAGGUUGCCGGCCUGGGCCCUGUGGAGUACUUGUCUUCCGGAUGGAACUUGUUCGACUUCUCCGUGACAGUGUUCGCCUUCCUGGGACUGCUGGCGCUGGCCCUCAACAUGGAGCCCUUCUAUUUCAUCGUGGUCCUGCGCCCCCUCCAGCUGCUGAGGUUGUUUAAGUUGAAGGAGCGCUACCGCAACGUGCUGGACACCAUGUUCGAGCUGCUGCCCCGGAUGGCCAGGUACUGCCAGCCCCCACCCUGGCCUGCAGGUCCAGGUGCCGUGUGGCAGUGCCCCGUGGGGGCGGGAGCUGAGUGGCAGUCGGGGGAAAGGAGUUCCACAAAGGACUGCAAUCGAGGGCCUGAUGGGGCUCCAAGGAGCCUGGAAUCUUGACCACCACAGGUCUCCUGGGCACCAUUUUUCUCCACUGACCUGUCUGACAUAUUUAGUAGGGAGGGCAGGGAGCUGUCAACUUGCUUACCACCUGUGUCUACAUUCACAGGUAAGGGGUCACCUGUGAGUCUACCUUCACAGGUAAGGGGUGAAUCUCUGGGAAAGGGGCAUUUGUUCAUAGCGUCCUGACUUGAGCUGUUUUUCACCCCAGAGCUGCCCCACGAGGCCCCUUCCCCGCAGGCACUUUCCAGUUGGUGAACCGACCAGGGGCAUGGCCCUGCAGUCAGCCCCAUGGGUCCGAGGAGGCCGGGGCUGUAGAGGAGCCGUUCCCUCCUGCCGGCCCCGCGUCACCCUGCCCCUGUCACCCCACAGCCUGGGCCUCACCCUGCUCAUCUUUUACUACUCCUUCGCCAUCGUGGGCAUGGAGUUCUUCUGCGGGAUCGUCUUCCCCAACUGCUGCAACACGAGUACAGUGGCAGAUGCCUACCGCUGGCGCAACCACACCGUGGGCAACAGGACUGUGGUGGAGGAAGGCUACUAUUAUCUCAAUAAUUUUGACAACAUCCUCAACAGCUUUGUGACCCUGUUUGAGCUCACAGUUGUCAACAACUGGUACAUCAUCAUGGAAGGCGUCACCUCUCAGACCUCCCACUGGAGCCGCCUCUACUUCAUGACCUUUUACAUUGUGACCAUGGUGGUGAUGACGAUCAUUGUCGCCUUUAUCCUCGAGGCCUUCGUCUUCCGAAUGAACUACAGCCGCAAGAACCAGGACUCGGAAGUUGAUGGUGGCAUCACCCUUGAGAAGGAAAUCUCCAAAGAAGAGCUGGUUGCCGUCCUGGAGCUCUACCGGGAGGCACGGGGGGCCUCCUCGGAUGUCACCCGGCUGCUGGAGACCCUCUCCCAGAUGGAGAGAUACCAGCAACAUUCCAUGGUAUUUCUGGGACGGCGAUCAAGGACCAAGAGCGACCUGAGCCUGAAGAUGUACCAGGAGGAGAUCCAGGAGUGGUAUGAGGAGCAUGCCAGGGAGCAGGAGCAGCAGCGACAGCUCAGCAGCAGCACAGCCCCCGCCGCCCAGCAGCCCCCAGGCAGCCGCCAGCGCUCCCAGACCAUUACCUAGCCCAGCGCCCGAAAGCCGUCUCUUCUAUGCAAUAACACAAUAGUAUUACUCUA
rnacentral:sRNA from 1 species